rnacentral:rRNA from 1 species
AUUGAACGCUGGCGGCAGGCCUAACACAUGCAAGUCGAGCGGAGCGGCGGACGGGUGAGUAAUGCCUACGAAGCUGCCUGGUAUAGGGGGCUAACGUCCGGAAACGGGCGCUAAUACCGCAUACUAUCAGAUGAGCCUAGGUCGGAUUUGCGAGUUGGAUGGGUAACGGCCUACCAAGGCGACGUUCCGUAACUGGUCUGAGAGGGUGAUCAGUCACACUGGAACUGAGAAACGGUCCAGACUCCUACGGGAGGCAGCAGUGGGGAAUAUUGGAAAAUGGGCGAAAGCCUGAGCGAGCCAUGCCGCGUGUGUGAAGAAGGUCUUCGGAUUGUAAAGCACUGUUAGUUGGGAGGCGUUACCAACAGAAAAAGCACCGGCUAACUUCGUGCCAGCAGCCGCGGUAAUAC